rnacentral:rRNA from 1 species
CCUACGUGCGGCAGCAGUGAGGAAUAUUGGUCAAUGGGCUUACGCCUGAACCAGCCAAGUCGCGUGAGGGAAGACUGCCCUAUGGGUUGUAAACCUCUUUUGUCAGGGAGCAAUUGGCGCUACGUGUAGCGUUAUCGAGAGUACCUGAAGAAAAAGCAUCGGCUAACUCCGGGCCAGCAGCCGCGGUAAUACGGAGGAUGCGAGCGUUAUCCGGAUUUAUUUGGUUUAGAGGGUGCGUAGGCGGAAUGCCAAGUCAGCGGUAAAAUCGCGGGGCUCAACCUCGCUCCGCCGUUGAAACUGGCGUUCGUGAGUGGGCGAGAAGUAUGCGGAAUGCGUGGUGUAGCGGUGAAAUGCAUAGAUAGCACGCAGA